rnacentral:piRNA from 1 species
UGACUUAUAGGGUUGGAGAAGCAGCCAGGG